rnacentral:lncRNA from 1 species
GGGAAAUGAUUGAGCUGAUGAUAAAGGAGAAUGAAGUUGAGCUAGUACAUGACUUGAAUCACGGAAUUUUUGAGGAAGUUGAUGAGGAAGACUACAGCAUUGAAGCUAAGAUUAGAGCUAAAAUGAGGUCUUCUCAGUCAAGCCAGCAUACCCGGUCACUGUUUUGAGGCAGCCAUUAGCCCCAUGCAGUUGGAAAACAGGUACCUCAACUUAACAAAUCCUCUUCCAGCCGAUGUUGAUGUACUACAAUGGUGGAGAAGGCAUCAUCGGGAGUAUCCUCUUGUUGCCAAGUGUGCCAGAAAAUACCUUUGUGUUCAGACAUCGUCAGCGAGCUCUGAGCGAGUGUUCUCAUCAGGAGGUGCAAUUGUGACCUGCCAAAGGACAAAGCUUGAUGUUGAAAAUCUCCACAUGCUAGUUUACUGUAAGGAAAACUUGCCAAAGGUUAAAAUCUCCGCAAAAUUUCUCGAAGAUGAAGCAGAGGAGGAUGCUGAAGAGGAACUUCUUCAGGACAAAACAACUGAAGUCUUGAUAGAAGGUUCAGCCAAAAUUCAUUUUGGUAAGGGAGGGGGUAAAGGAAAUAAAAAAAAUGUUGGAUGUUAGUCUUCAAAGUCAAUCGAAGGCUGGGUCUACUUCAACCAGCCAAUCAACAGUAUUUUCAAGCAUAAGAGUUGGAACCUCUUCAAGAAACUGAGAUGAAAAUCUAUCAACUAUUAGCAUACAAUGCAUUGACAGUGAUUGAUUAUAUAUAAAAAUGUGGAAAAUGUUCCUUUUUGUUCCUUUUAUCAAAUUUAUUAUAUUGUUUGAAAUCAGGAAUAACGUUUUUAAC